CAGUUGGAACGACUGCUAAUACCCGAUGUGCCGAGAGGUGAAAAGGUGAAUUCCGCCUGAAGAGGAGCUCGCGUCCGAUUAGCUAGUUGGUGAGGUAAAAGCUUACCAAGGCGACGAUCGGUAGCUGGUCUGAGAGGAUGAGCAGCCACACUGGAACUGAGACACGGUCCAGACUCCUACGGGAGGCAGCAGUGGGGAAUUUUCCGCAAUGGGCGAAAGCCUGACGGAGCAACGCCGCGUGGGGGAAGAAGGUUCUUGGAUUGUAAACCCCUUUUCUCAGGGAAGAAGUUCUGACGGUACCUGAGGAAUCAGCCUCGGCUAACUCCGUGCCAGCAGCCGCGGUAAUACGGAGGAGGCAAGCGUUAUCCGGAAUCAUUGGGCGUAAAGCGUUCGUAGGCGGCUGUUCAAGUCUGCUGUCAAAGACCGAGGCUCAACCUCGGGUCGGCAGUGGAAACUGGAUAGCUAGAGGUCGGUAGGGGCAAAGGGAAUUCCCAGUGUAGCGGUGAAAUGCGUAGAUAUUGGGAAGAACACCGGUGGCGAAAGCGCUUUGCUGGACCGAACCUGACGCUGAGGGACGAAAGCUAGGGGA
rnacentral:rRNA from 1 species